rnacentral:rRNA from 1 species
GACGAACGCUGGCGGCGUGCUUAACACAUGCAAGUCGAACGGAAAGGCCCUGCUUUUGUGGGGUGCUCGAGUGGCGAACGGGUGAGUAACACGUGAGUAACCUGCCCUUGACUUUGGGAUAACUUCAGGAAACUGGGGCUAAUACCGGAUAGGAGCUCCUGCUGCAUGGUGGGGGUUGGAAAGUUUCGGCGGUUGGGGAUGGACUCGCGGCUUAUCAGCUUGUUGGUGGGGUAGUGGCUUACCAAGGCUUUGACGGGUAGCCGGCCUGAGAGGGUGACCGGCCACAUUGGGACUGAGAUACGGCCCAGACUCCUACGGGAGGCAGCAGUGGGGAAUCUUCCGCAAUGGGCGAAAGCCUGACGGAGCAACGCCGCGUGAGUGAUGAAGGUCUUCGGAUGGUAAAACUCUGUUAUUAGGGAAGAACAUAUGUGUAAGUAACUGUGCACAUCUUGACGGUACCUAAUCAGAAAGCCACGGCUAACUACGUG